rnacentral:rRNA from 1 species
CGAUCACGUUCAGAGUUUGAUCCUGGCUCAGGACGAACACUGGCGGCGUGCUUAACACAUGCAAGUCGAGCGGGGAUGAAAGCUUCGGUUUUCAUUCUAGCGGCGGACGGGUGAGUAACGCGUGAGCAAUCUGUCCUACACAGGGGGAUAACACUUGGAAACAGGUGCUAAUACCGCAUAAGACCACGGGAUCACAUGUUCCUGGGGUAAAAGAUUUAUCGGUGUAGGGUGAGCUCGCGUCCGAUUAGCUAGUUGGUGAGGUAACGGCCCACCAAGGCGACGAUCGGUAGCCGACCUGAGAGGGUGAUCGGCCACAUUGGAACUGAGACACGGUCCAA